rnacentral:snRNA from 1 species
GAGCCAGCUUGAUCUCAAAAUCUAACCGAACCCAACGG